rnacentral:rRNA from 1 species
ACUAACAAGGAAAAAAUAAAUGUGUUGUCACGAAGGAAUGUGAGCUAAACGCACAUAUGGUCUAUUUGCAUGCGUCGCAUAGCACGUAAUAAAUGUACGUUUAGGGGUGAUAGGCUUUUCAAACGUUCCUAUAACUUGUUUCAUAUGAAAAGUAUUAAGUACCUAAACAAAUUUAAAAAGUUAAGCUUUUAAAUAACUAUUAAAGAUAUUAUCCCCCUUGUAGUGUAGUUUAAUAGCUAUCUACAUAAUAACUUAAUAUAAAGUAUAAUAGUUUAUAUUUUAUAAUAUGACGUUAACAAUUUUGUUUAAUAUUUGAAAAUGUUAGUAUUAGUAAUAUUAGUAUAUGUGCUAAAGGAACUCGGCAAAAAACCACUCAACUGUUUAUCAAAAACAUAGCUAUAUGAAUUAAUAUAUAGUUAUUUCUGCUCAAUGACUUAAAUAGCCGCAGUACUCUGACUGUGCAAAGGUAGCAUAAUCAGUUGGCUUUUAAUUAGAGUCUGGUAUGAACGAAAAUAUGGGUAGUAACUGUCUUAGCACAUUUUUCCGAACUUAUUAAACAAGUGCAAAUGCUUGUAAUUUAACAAUAGACGAGAAGACCCUAGAAACUUGGACAAGUUUUUGUUGGGGCGACAGAAUUACAUUUAACUAAUCUUAUAAUACACGACGCGAUGUUGAAAGAAUAAGUUACUCUAGGGAUAACAGCAUAAUUUCAUUAGUUUGUGACCUCGAUGUUGGACUAGGUACUAUACCCUUAAGGCAAGGAUAUAUUAUGCUCUGUUCGAGCAAAAUUACCUACAUGAUCUGAGUUCAGACCGG